UACGUAGGGUGCAAGCGUUUGUCCGGAAUUAUUGGGCGUAAAGAGCUCGUAGGCGGUUUGUCGCGUCUGCUGUGAAAACCCGAGGCUCAACCUCGGGCCUGCAGUGGGUACGGGCAGACUAGAGUGCGGUAGGGGAGACUGGAAUUCCUGGUGUAGCGGUGAAAUGCGCAGAUAUCAGGAGGAACACCGAGUGGCGAAGGCAGGUCUCCUGGGCCACUACUGACGCUGG
rnacentral:rRNA from 1 species